rnacentral:rRNA from 1 species
GAGUUUGAUCCUGGCUCAGGAUGAACGCUGGCGGCGUGCUUAACACAUGCAAGUCGAACGAACCUUCGGGUUAGUGGCGGACGGGUGAGUAACGCGUGAGAAUCUGCCCUCAGGAGGGGGAUAACGGUUGGAAACGACCGCUAAUACCCCAUAUGCCGAUAGGUGAAAUGAAUUUCGCCUGAGGAUGAGCUCGCGUCUGAUUAGCUUGUUGGUGAGGUAAUGGCUCACCAAGGCUUCGAUCAGUAGCUGGUCUGGGAGGAUGAUCAGCCACACUGGGACUGAGACACGGCCCAGACUCCUACGGGAGGCAGCAGUGGGGAAUUUUCCGCAAUGGGCGAAAGCCUGACGGAGCAACGCCGCGUGAGGGACGAAGGCCUCUGGGCUGUAAACCUCUUUUCUCAAGGAAGAAGAUAUGACGGUACUUGGGGAAUAAGCCACGGCUAAUUCCGUGCCAGCAGCCGCGGUAAUACGGGAGUGGCAAGCGUUAUCCGGAAUUAUUGGGCGUAAAGCGUCCGCAGGCGGCCUUUCAAGUCUGCUGUUAAAGCGUGGAGCUUAACUCCAUCAUGGCAGUGGAAACUGAUUGGCUUGAGUAUGGUAGGGGCAGAGGGAAUUCCCGGUGUAGCGGUGAAAUGCGUAGAUAUCGGGAAGAACACCAGUGGCGAAGGCGCUCUGCUGGGCCAUUACUGACGCUCAUGGACGAAAGCCAGGGGAGCGAAAGGGAUUAGAUACCCCUGUAGUCCUGGCCGUAAACGAUGAACACUAGGUGUCGGGGGAAUCGACCCCUUCGGUGUCGUAGCUAACGCGUUAAGUGUUCCGCCUGGGGAGUACGCACGCAAGUGUGAAACUCAAAGGAAUUGACGGGGGCCCGCACAAGCGGUGGAGUAUGUGGUUUAAUUCGAUGCAACGCGAAGAACCUUACCAGGGUUUGACAUCCUGAGAACCUCUUAGAAAUUUGAGGGUGCCUUCGGGAAUUCAGUGACAGGUGGUGCAUGGCUGUCGUCAGCUCGUGUCGUGAGAUGUUGGGUUAAGUCCCGCAACGAGCGCAACCCACGUUUUUAGUUGCCAGCAUUUAGUUGGGCACUCUAGAAAGACCACCGGUGAUAAACCGGAGGAAGGUGUGGAUGACGUCAAGUCAUCAUGCCCCUUACACCCUGGGCUACACACGUACUACAAUGCUACGGACAAAGGGCAGCAAACUCGCGAGAGCUAGCAAAUCCCAUAAACCGUGGCUCAGUUCAGAUCGUAGGCUGCAACUCGCCUACGUGAAGUAGGAAUCGCUAGUAAUCGCAGGUCAGCAUACUGCGGUGAAUACGUUCCCGGGCCUUGUACACACCGCCCGUCACACCAUGGAAGUUGGCCAUGCCCGAAGUCGUUACUCCAACCCUUGUGGAGGAGGACGCCGAAGGUGGGGCUAAUGACUGGGGUGAAGUCGUAACAAGGUAACC